rnacentral:lncRNA from 1 species
GGGAUGGACCUCCAGAUUUCCUUACUGACCUGCAUUAUCUUGUGGAUACCUGAGUGAAUUCCACACCACCCAUUUUAUAGAUGAAACCACUGAGACAUGGAGCAAUUGACUGAGUAGUCACUGCCCCACCCCUGCCUGGAGCCUCACACAUGACUCGCCUCCUCUCAGUGACCACAGGAAAACAAGCUCAGGGCUCCCACUGAUUGUACAUUAUGAGACGGAGUCUUGCUAUGUUGCCCAGGCUGGUCUUGAACUCCUCACCUCAAGCGAUCCUCCCGUCUUGGCCUCCCAAGUGUCAGGAUUACGGGCAUGUGCUAUCACACCCAACCUGAUACAUUGCCUUUAUAAAUUUUUUUUUCUUUAUUCUAAAAACCAGAAAAAACAAAACUGGAUACAUGUGCAGAACAUGCAGACCAAGUGUGUUGGGGACUUGAGAUGCGUACAUGAGUGUGAUGUUUCCUGCUGAAAGCACAGGUGAGACGUGGUCUUGUAACACAGUGGUUAAGAAUGUGACUUUGGAGCCAGCCUGCUAGGGGCUGAAUUCUGACUCAGCCAUUUACUAACUGUGUGACCUUAGGGAGGAGGACCUGGUUGAUAGAAGAAUUUAUCUCGUAGUCUUAACAUCCACUGUAAUUCCAAACUUUGAGGACGAUAGAGAUCAGUGGGCUUUGACUGCCCAGCAUGCAGUCUCCAU